UGCCACUUGCUGGUCUUGCUGGUUAAGCACGCGGUUUGCGCUGAAAAGGUCACACUAUUGUGAUGCUGAUGAUUAUUCUGUUCAAUUAGCGGCUCUUUCUUUCCUUGGCAGCAUGUACAGCUGAAAAGAAACGACUGUAACAGAGCUCCGUCUCGCGAAUAGCCCCAAGAGCACCUCCUGCUGGAUCCAAGCAAGAACGGACAAGAUUCAGGGUUCACUGCCAUCAGAUGGAUUAUUUCUGAUCUGCCUGAGAUUAGGUGUGGCUCGUCAGAGACCAGGUGGGUGUUCUCAGCAAAGGAACCUCCAGCGAGUCGUGUCACCCGGGGAUGUGACGUUUGACCUCACGCUCGUCAUGUGGAGUAUUUUCCGGAACGCGUCCUCCUCACCUUGGCUUGCCUGCACCUCUGUGAUUUUCGGCUGAAACUUCUGAGGUUUGCACUUGUGGUUAAUCUGUGCUGUGAAAAAGAAAUUCGACCUGGAACAGGAGGGACCAGCAACCCCCCCAGACAAGCAGCCUUCCAAAUGCCUGGGCAUUGAUGUUCGCCUUCCCAGGUGCUCCAGAUGAAUGGAGUCUACAGCACCAGCCACUGGCCAAAGGCUCCUCCCCUUGAAGGGGAUAGAUUUUGUAUCCUAGGGUUUGUAUCCUUUAAUUCUUCCUUUACCCAUUGUACUCUGGUCCCCCCUUUACAGCCACUGCCUACUCCAUAAUGUGCCCCUCCCCCGACCCAGAAUCAGGACUGCAGGGAGUCUAAAUCGCGGGAGCUGCUGUUGGACCCUCAUAGCUGCUAAUGGAAAACAGAACCUGCCAUCUGUAUAGACGCGGACCUGUCAAGCAGAUAAUAAUGAUGAUGAAUUAUAAUCUCUGCUGGGGUGUCAAUACGUGUUAAUUCACAUCUGAAAAGCUCAGGACCCACAGAGCGAAAAGUCUGGACCCCUUCUGGACCCUCAGCGGU